CCCCCUUAUAAAAGAAAAAACAACCAGCGCCCCAUUAGUUACCCGCCCACCGCCAUCGCCUUCCUUCCUUCUUCCGCACUCCUCGAGAAAAAGUCGGCUUCGUUAGUUUUCCCCUGGUAUCUGUAUAUAAGCAAGCGUUCCGCUUUAUAUCGUUUUGCUCUCUUCUCCAAGUAAACCCCAUCUUAACCUUUCGUCUCAGCUAACAACACGUCGAAUUCUUUCAAUCUCUUCUGUUUCUUCUAUUCAAUUCUGUCCUUCAGAGACGUAUAAUUAGAUUGUUUGUUUGUUUGUGUCUUUUCUUUUCCUGAUUUUUUUCUGGGUUCUUUCGACUUGUUUUCGUUAGAUUCUUUCUGGGUACAGAUUCUCUGUUUUUCUUUUUUGCUUAGGACUCGAUAUUGGUACAUAUUCUGAUCCAAAAGUAGAAACUUUUUUUCUCGGUUUGUUUAAAUUAUUGCCACUAUGGCUUUUAACCCAAACGAAUACGACAACAAUGACAACUUCCUUUCUGUCGAAACACGAAACUCUGGGAAGACUCACACGGCAACUUUAAAUUCGACUACGUUAGACACGGUGAAUGAUCAAGAAUCCAUUCUUUCCGAUUGCGAAAGCUGCGUUUCUGGCCCCAGUUUUGAUCAAUCUCCGCUGUUUAACAAUGGAUUGGUUCGGUUAUUCCCGGGGGACAAGGCGCAUGACGUGAUCAUGAAAAGGUUUCUUUCCAAUCUGGGUUCUCUGGCGGCUCAUACUAAGGACUUGGCAAUCCAUAAAAAUAGUUUUCUUGGUGUUACUUGGCAAGCAAGGCUUCAAUCUUUCCAGAUUUUCAUCAAAGCAAUGGAGCAAAAAUGUGGGGGCGACGCCAAUGUUAAGUAUGCUUGGUGUUCUGCUUCUAGAGAUGAGAUUUGUCGGAUUGUUGACCAUGGUUUUGGUCAUUGCGGGUUGCCUGAAAACAGUGGAUUGUAUGGUUGCGGCCUCUAUCUUUCCCCUGAUGAUUCUCCCAUGGAGAGUGUGAAGAAUGCACUGGUUGAUAAAAAUGGGAUUAGGCAUUUAAUGCUUUGCCGUGUGAUAUUGGGGAAGGCAGAGGCGGUGCAGCCUGGUUCUAAGCAAUGUCAUCCAAGUUCAGAUGAGUUUGAUUCUGGCGUUGACAAUCUGUCGUCGCCGAAAAAGUAUAUUUUAUGGAGUACACACAUGAAUACUCACAUCUUGCCAGAGUUCAUAUUGAGUUUCACAGCUCCAUCGUCCUUGAAAGGUUUCCUUGGGAUGCAAGAUAGGUUGAGGAUGCCAACCUCGCCUUGGAUAUCAUUUCCAGCUCUCAUAUCUGCACUUUCGGAGUUCUUACCUCCUACUUCCGUCAAUUUGAUCUCCAAGUAUCACAAAGAUCACAGGGAUAAGAAAAUAUCAAGGCAUGAACUGAUACAAUUUGUAAGACAAAUAGCAGGAGACAAGUUGUUGGCUGCUGUCAUCAAAUCCUCCAGGACCAAGCCUAACAAUUAGGUGGAACACUGCUGACAACCUAACAAUUGGGUGGAAGACAAAAAAUUUCUUGAUUGAGGAAAACAGCCUAUUCCAUUUGGCAGCAUUCAACGAACAACUGAGCAUGGAUCCAGGAGCAGGUUUCGACAUCCUUAGAAGGCUGGCUAUCUAGGUUGACUCAAUGUUUAAGGGGAUGAGAAUUUUCUGUAUAUAAGGAGAAGUAGCGAUCACUGAGCGGGGAUGAGAAGGCAAAUCACACAGACCAGGCAGAUAGUGAAAGCUUGAGGUGGAACUAAGGUCCUGUUUUGUCAAAAACCAGUUGUGGAGUGUUUGGUGUCUUUGCUUUACAAAGCUGUCACUUCUUCCUUUCAAAUUACACUAGUGAGAAUGAAGUUGGUUCCCUGUUUUUGGUUUAUUGAGGAAGUAAAUACUAUGGUUGCAUUGACUUAGAAAUUGUAGAAUGUCCAAAGACAGCUUAAAGAUCAGAUUUUUGUAGUCAGCUUAACAAUACAAACUUCAUUUACUUUCUUCAAAAUCUUGGUGUUUAGACAGAUUUACUAAGCAAGUUGGUCCUUUGCUGAAUAUGAAAAACUGAAAAGUAGCCUCUUUGAUUAGUA